rnacentral:rRNA from 1 species
AGAUUGAGUUUGAUCCUGGCUCAGAUUGGACGCUGGCGGCAUGCCUUACACAUGCAAGUCGAACGGCAGCACGGGAGCAAUCCUGGUGGCGAGUGGCGAACGGGUGAGUAAUAUAUCGGAACGUGCCCAGUCGUGGGGGAUAACGUAGCGAAAGCUACGCUAAUACCGCAUACGAUCUACGGAUGAAAGCGGGGGAUCGCAAGACCUCGCGCGAUUGGAGCGGCCGAUAUCAGAUUAGGUUGUUGGUGGGGUAAAAGCCCACCAAGCCGACGAUCUGUAGCUGGUCUGAGAGGACGACCAGCCACACUGGGACUGAGACACGGCCCAGACUCCUACGGGAGGCAGCAGUGGGGAAUUUUGGACAAUGGGCGCAAGCCUGAUCCAGCAAUGCCGCGUGCAGGAUGAAGGCCUUCGGGUUGUAAACUGCUUUUGUACGGAACGAAACGGCUUUUUCUAAUACAGAGAGCUAAUGACGGUACCGUAAGAAUAAGCACCGGCUAACUACGUGCCAGCAGCCGCGGUAAUACGUAGGGUGCGAGCGUUAAUCGGAAUUACUGGGCGUAAAGCGUGCGCAGGCGGUUUUGUAAGACAGAUGUGAAAUCCCCGGGCUCAACCUGGGACCUGCAUUUGUGACUGCAAGGCUAGAGUACGGUAGAGGGGGAUGGAAUUCCGCGUGUAGCAGUGAAAUGCGUAGAUAUGC